rnacentral:rRNA from 1 species
GACGGACCCCGCACAAGCGGUGGAUCAUGUUGUUUAAUUCGAUGAUACGCGAAGAACCUUACCAGGUCUUGACAUCCCCCGCGAUGCUUUAGAGAUAAAGCGAGGUAUUCGGGGAGACAGGUGGUGCAUGGUUGUCGUCAGCUCGUGUCGUGAGAUGUUGGGUUAAGUCCCGCAACGAGCGCAACCCCUAUUGCUAGUUACCAUCAUUAAGUUUGGGGACUCUAGCGAGACUGCCAGUGAUAAACUGGAGGAAGGUGGGGAUGACGUCAAAUCAUCAUGCCCCUUAUGACCUGGGCUACAAACGUGAUACAAUGGCUGGAACAAAGGGAUGCGAAGCAGUGAUGUGGAGCGAAACCCAUAAAAACAGUCUCAGUUCGGAUUGAAGUCUGCAACUCGACUUCAUGAAGUCGGAAUCGCUAGUAAUCGCGGAUCAGAACGCCGCGGUGAAUACGUUCUCGGGGUUU